GCGGCAUGCUUUACACAUGCAAGUCGAACGGUAACAGGUCUUCGGAUGCUGACGAGUGGCGAACGGGUGAGUAACACAUCGGAACGUGCCUAGUAGUGGGGGAUAACUACUCGAAAGAGUAGCUAAUACCGCAUGAGAUCUAAGGAUGAAAGCAGGGGACCUUCGGGCCUUGCGCUACUAGAGCGGCUGAUGGCAGAUUAGGUAGUUGGUGGGAUAAAAGCUUACCAAGCCGACGAUCUGUAGCUGGUCUGAGAGGACGACCAGCCACACUGGGACUGAGACACGGCCCAGACUCCUACGGGAGGCAGCAGUGGGGAAUUUUGGACAAUGGGCGAAAGCCUGAUCCAGCAAUGCCGCGUGCAGGAUGAAGGCCCUCGGGUUGUAAACUGCUUUUGUACGGAACGAAAAGACUCUCUCUAAUAAAGAGGGUUGAUGACGGUACCGUAAGAAUAAGCACCGGCUAACUACGUGCCAGCAGCCGCGGUAAUACGUAGGGUGCGAGCGUUAAUCGGAAUUACUGGGCGUAAAGCGUGCGCAGGCGGUUAUGUAAGACAGAGGUGAAAUCCCCGGGCUCAACCUGGGAACGGCCUUUGUGACUGCAUGGCUA
rnacentral:rRNA from 1 species